UACGUAGGGGGCAAGCGUUGUCCGGAAUCAUUGGGCGUAAAGAGCGUGUAGGCGGCUCGAUAAGUCUGCUGUGAAAGUCCAGGGCUCAACCCUGGAAGGCCGGUGGAAACUGUCGGGCUAGAGUCCGGAAGAGGCGAGUGGAAUUCCCGGUGUAGCGGUGAAAUGCGCAGAUAUCGGGAGGAACACCAAUGGCGAAGGCAGGUCUCUGGGCCGAUACUGACGCUGAGGAGCGAAAGCGUGGGGAGCGAACAGG
rnacentral:rRNA from 1 species